UACGGAGGGAGCUAGCGUUGUUCGGAAUUACUGGGCGUAAAGCGCGCGUAGGCGGCUUUGUAAGUUAGAGGUGAAAGCCCGGAGCUCAACUCCGGAACUGCCUUUAAAACUGCAUCGCUUGAAUCCAGGAGAGGUGAGUGGAAUUCCGAGUGUAGAGGUGAAAUUCGUAGAUAUUCGGAAGAACACCAGUGGCGAAGGCGACAUCCUGGACCGGUAUUGACGCUGAGGCGCGAAAGCCAGGGGAGCAAACGGG
rnacentral:rRNA from 1 species